rnacentral:rRNA from 1 species
GUGAGGAAUAUUGCGCAAUGGAGGCAACUCUGACGCAGCCAUGCCGCGUGCAGGAAGAAGGCGCUACGCGUUGUAAACUGCUUUUAACCGGGAAGAAACCCCAGGACGUGUCCUGGGUUGACGGUACCGGAGGAAUAAGCACCGGCUAACUUCGUGCCAGCAGCCGCGGUAAUACGAAGGGUGCAAGCGUUAUCCGGAUUCAUUGGGUUUAAAUGGUGCGUAGGCGGAGCGUUAAGUCAGUGGUGAAAUCCUGCAGCUUAACUGUAGACUUGCCAUUGAUACUGGCGCUCUUGAGUGCGCUUGAAGUGGGCGGAAUGUGCCGUGUAGCGGUGAAAUGCUUAGAUAUGGCACAGAACACCAAUUGCGAAGGCAGCUCACUAAGGCGAUACUGACGCUGAGGCACGAAAGCGUGGGGAUCGAACAGGAUUAGAAACCCGGGUAGUCC